rnacentral:rRNA from 1 species
UGGGGAAUAUUGGACAAUGGGCGAAAGCCUGAUCCAGCCAUGCCGCGUGUGUGAAGAAGGCCUUUUGGUUGUAAAGCACUUUAAGUGGGGAGGAAAAGCUUAUGGUUAAUACCCAUAAGCCCUGACGUUACCCACAGAAUAAGCACCGGCUAACUCUGUGCCAGCAGCCGCGGUAAUACAGAGGGUGCAAGCGUUAAUCGGAAUUACUGGGCGUAAAGCGCGCGUAGGUGGUUACUUAAGUCAGAUGUGAAAGCCCCGGGCUUAACCUGGGAACUGCAUCUGAUACUGGAUAACUAGAGUAGGUGAGAGGGGAGUAGAAUUCCAGGUGUAGCGGUGAAAUGCGUAGAGAUCUGGAGGAAUACCGAUGGCGAAGGCAGCUCCCUGGCAUCAUACUGACACUGAGGUGCGAAAGCGUGGGUAGCAAACAGGAUUAGAUACCCUGGUAGUCCACGCCGUAAACGAUGUCUACCAGUCGUUGGGUCUUUUAAAGACUUAGUGACGCAGUUAACGCAAUAAGUAGACCGCCUGGGGAGUACGGCCGCAAGGUUA